rnacentral:lncRNA from 1 species
GAUGAGGUCUCAGCUGACUAAACAGAUUGUACCAAGGAAGUGAUGCCCAGGGUCUAGGCCGGAAGUCAGCAGCUGGCCUGCCCUCAGGAGCCAGGAGCUGACUGAGAUACAUGGAAUUUUUCUUACACUUUGGAAUCUAGUGAGCCCCUCUCGCAUUGCAACACUGAAAAUUUCUGUUUCUUCUCUUGCAUCAGUAUUUAAAGAUCACGCAAUGAGAUGCCUCAUCCAGUUUCUAACUUCUUCACGUCCCAGCACAUGCAUCCACUCCCCUAUCCUUACCCCAACAUCAGCUUUUUAGUCUUUCUCUUCCUCCCUUUUCUGAACAUCUUCCCAUUUCCCUCUUCUGUUUGAGUCCUUCAGAACCCCGGUAAGGCACACCUCCACCGUGAAGCCAUCUUAAUUUGGAAAUUGGUUGAAGUAUGAUUCUACUCAUAGCCCCACAACUAGCCUCCAAGCUCUUUAGGAUCCACAGUCUCUCACACUCGAGAUGCAAAAUUAUAGUUUCCCCAGCUUCAGCCCCACACACACUUUGUCAGAAGGCACGACACCAUAAUUGACGUUCCCAGCAAGACUGAAUUCAAUAGGAAGAGUGAAUGCCACAGAAAAUCAGAGAGAAAGAAUAGACAGCUCAAAACUACAGACGUCCUAACCAUUUAAUAGUCGGAUGGAUGGUUGGGGAGAUCAAAGAAUGCUUGAAUAUUUGGCGGGUCAGUUUCAACUCCGAUCCACUAGGGGGCGCGAAGAGACUGCUAGCGCGGGGUCCAUCCGGGGAUUCGCCGCUCUAGGCCCUAGCUCGUCUCUCAACUGCAG